rnacentral:lncRNA from 1 species
AAAUAGAUAAGAAGUUGAAAGUGGAAGCGACGAUAGCCCAGUUUUAAGUUUAGGGGCAGCAACAUUGUGCAUUUGAGCUUCUCAGGAUAAGUCACCAAUGGCAGCUGGGUUAGCUUUAUCCAUAGCCGUAACUCCAAAAUUGAGGUUAAUUUCCCACCAAAAUCAAUCUUCUGCACAAAAGGUACAAUUUUCACUUCCAUCCAUCUUGGCUAUAUUCCCCCCUCACUUUUUUCCUUUUUUACAACUAAUUUUUGAACCUAAAUUGAAUUAAAUCAGCUCAAAUUAGCUUAUUUGGAUGGUUUUUAUGUAUCAUUGCAUUGUAUUGGCGUUAAUACAUAAACUAUUUUAGCUUAAACUUGUACAAAGUUGAACAUAUAUAUACACAUAAAACAUGAAUUGCCAAGUAGGACACCACGUAGAAGGCACGUGACUACUUGUUCCACUUUAUAUAAGUUAAAAGUGCAUGUUUAUGUAUUAUACCUAUUGUACUUAUUGUUUUGAAGAGUACAAUGUUCGAAUAGAUUGUAUUGGAUUUUUCGAACAUGGUUGCAUCAAGUAAAAUGAAGUGGGAAUUGAUCAAAAGCUCAACAUUUAACCAUGUGGACCAUUUAGACUUCUUGUAGUACGGGUGCCAGAAUAUAAUAUUAUACAAAUUUUAGAAAAUGCAGAUAUAAAAUAUCUAAUUUUACGAAAUGACCGCGGGAUCCAGUUCCCUAUUUUUUGGCUCUAAAAUUUGCCACUGGUUAUUGCGUAAUGACACACAUUAACAAUUUGAAGGAUGGAACACAAUAUUAUAAAGAAAAGUAGGAAAAGCAGGAUAAGAGGUAGAGUUAUUAUAGAAAAAGUAGGGCAAUGGAUAAAAAAGGAUUAUUAAAUAGUAAGCAAAGACAAUGAGAAAGACAAGAAAGAUGACAAUGCGACCGCACCAAACGGAUCGUUACAUAAAACGUGAAACUUUCCGUCGUUACGUAAUGAUGGAUUUAACAAUAAAAUAUAAUAAAAUUUCAAGCAACAAUCAAAUCAAAUAUUGGAUUGGAAGUAGCAAUACGAUUAGAAACAGCUAUCCAAUCAAUCAUUGCAUAAAUAUAGUCAUAUGGUUUACCUUAUAAGUUGUAUAUAUUACUGAUCACAGAGACUUUUGGCACAUGAAACAGGGAGGGAAUAUUGAUCCACGUAUUAAUUACAGAGAUUGUGCUUCACUGAUACAGGGGUUAAGUAGGAAAAAAUUGCCUGUUGCUGCUGAAAGGCUAGUCCUUGAAAUGAAAUCUGAGGGUUUUGUACCUGAUAGCUCUACCUUGUCAGCAUUGAUGCUAUGCUAUGCUACUAAUGGUUUAUUUUGCAAAGCAUUAGCCGCUUGGGAUGAAAUUAUGAAUAGUUCAUUUCUGCCGGAUGUUCAUGUAAUUGCAGAACUGAUUGAUAUUUACGGUUGCAAAGGAUAUCUAGAUGUUGCUGUCAGAAUAUUGCAUCAGAUUCAGUUGAAAGAUUCCAACCUGCUUCGUGAUGUUUAUGCUCAGGCUAUCUCUCGUUUUGGAAAGAAAGGGCAGCUUGAAUUGAUGGAAGUUAUGUUGGAAGAGAUGGUUUCCAUGGGGUUCCCUGUUGACUCUACGACUGGAAAUGCCUAUGUUAUUUACUAUAGCAAUUUUGGCACGCUGAGUGAAAUGGAAGUUGCAUAUGGCCGUCUUAAGAUGUCAAGAAUUCUUAUAGAGGAAGAAGCAAUCAGGUCGAUAUCCUUGGCUUAUCUCAAGAAAGAGAAGUUUUAUAGUUUAGGUCAGUUUGUAAGAGAUGUCGGUCUAUGUAGGAGAAAUGUCGGGAAUCUAUUGUGGAACCUGUUACUUCUUUCUUAUGCUGCCAACUUCAAAAUGAAAAGUUUGCAGAGAGAAUUUGUGAGAAUGGUAGAAAGUGGAUUUUUUCCUGAUCUUAAUACUUUCAAUAUUAGAGCUUUGGCAUUUUCAAAGAUGUCUUUAUUUUGGGAUCUGCAUGUAACCCUUGAACAUAUGAAACAUGAGAAGGUAGUUCCUGAUCUUGUGACUUACGGUUCUGUUGUUGAUGCAUACUUGGAUAGAGGUCUGGGACGAAAUUUGGAUUUUGCCUUAAGGAAAUUGAAUACAAAUGAUUGUGUUACAGUAGCAACAGAACCGCUUGUAUUUGAGGCCAUGGGGAAAGGGGAUUUCCACUUAAGCUCGGAGGCACGUUUAGAGUUCAGUAAGAAAACAAAUUGGACAUAUGAGGUGCUUAUUACCACCUAUCUCAAGAAAUACUUCCGCCGUAAUCAAAUCUUUUGGAACUAUUGAAGAUGAAAAGUUUCUAAGCUGGAAGUUCUGUGCAAUUGCUUUGUGCACAGUAAUUUGAAAAAGUAAGCAUGUUUUCAUUGCUUAUUGAAAGCAAAUUUAACUCCAUGAACGCAUGCAUAAGUAACAUCUGAUAUGUGAGACAGUAGUAUACUAAUAUCCACCUCAGACAUGUUGCGUAGUAUGCCAUAAUAUGUGAGAAAGAUGAAACAGUUUCUUAAACAGUAUUGAUCCUAACAAGAUUAUGACAUUUUGUUUUCUGUCUGUCCGGUUCUUCAGAUACACUGGGUUUAAGUGGUUUAUCUGUCCUGACUGCAGCUACCCAUUCACUGAUUUUAUCAGAAAAGAUAUAACUGGAAGCUGCAGUUGUGGGUUAGUUGCAAUUUACAAUUCUAAACUUUUUUUUUCUUUUCUUUUAAUUACCAUUUAUGCUAUUGUUUGGUCCCUUUCUUGCCUACCUAUCCAUUCAGUAAGCUCAGCUGAGUGGUACAAUUUAGUGGAUUGGUUAACAGAUGCUAAAAACAAAUAAAAAAAAAACUGAAGAUUAGUAACCUGAAAAAAGACAAACUUCUGCAGAUAAAUGGAACUCCAGGAGGAUCUUCACUUGGAGUUUCCUCCGAGUGGAACAACUUCACGUCUCCAAAAACUCCCAGAAAACUCACUUUUUCUUAAAGCUUUACACACACACACACACACACACACACGCACGCACACAUUCAAAAUCUGCCUUGAUGUGGCGAGGGUUAGAUAGACUUAGAGCCCGUUUGGAUUGGCUUAAAAGUCUGUCAAACCUACUUUUAAGUUAGUUUUUGACUUAUGGAAAUGUUUUACAAAUAUAAAAAAUAACUUAAAAUAAGUCAAAAACGACUUAAAAUAAGUUACGAAGUGUUUGACAAAGUAAAAAAUGACUUAAAAUAAGUCAGAAACCAAAAGUAGGUCUCCCCCUACUUUUUAUAUUUUUGACUGAAAAGUCAUUUCAGUUUGACUUUUUAUUUUUGACUUAAAAGCUACUUUUUUAAGCCUAUCCAAACAGGCUCUUACACCUGAGUAUUAAUAGCUAAAAAGGUGAAGAUUGAUGAGAGAGACUAGACUCAAUAGAUUAAUGAGUGGGUGAGAAAAUAUGAGCUCACAAACUCACAACUCCAUUAAUGAACACAAGCUAAGAGAAGAGAGAAAGGAAGUUGUAUUGGUCAUUAUUUUCGUGUGUUACAUUCAAAUGAGAGCAUUGUGCUAACUCUUAUAUCCCCAAUCUACAAAGUAUCCUGUAAAUGAAUCCUAACAAACAAAGCCAGCUCAUCACCAAUUAAUGAGUAACCAGUCAACUAACUAUCAGAUCAGUAACUAACUAAUGGAAUGAUUAGUAACUAAGUAAUGGAUGGGAUUCAUUGUGUGAUACAACCAACUAAUGGACCGGGUUCAUUACGUGAUGCAUUUGAAUAGUGGGCCAACAGUAAUGUUAGUGGCUCAAUGGGCUGAACUUAGAGAAACCCAGAGCAGCUUUAUGGGGUGAGUUGAGAAAGAUAAGUGCACAACAAUAGAACAUGAAAAGAGAAAAUGGUUGUGCAAAUGGGCUCACGAGAGUUCGACUCUAAUAUCAAGUGAAGAAUAUGAGCAUCUAACCCAAAACCUUAAGGCAAUAGGUGGUCCAGGACUUUAUAAAUCUCUUCGAAAACCCAUACACAGUCUAUGAGGAGACUUACCAAUCCCACAAUCGAUGUGGGAACUCAACACUCUGUGUGCUAGGACUGCACAUCUGUAGCAUGAACAAUAUUAGAUGGGGGGCUUAACAUCUGAUAAACCAAGAGAAUUGUGAUAAGCGUAACUCUAAUACCAGGAUAAGAAAAUUGGACUUUGGUCCUAACUCAAUAUCAAAAGCUAGCUCAUGAAGUGAGGAUCGUCGGAAACCAUAUAAGAGAUCUUUGUCUGUUCAGGGUAAAGUGGCCUCGUUGAUUUGGACAACCAGUAACGAUAAGAAGUUCUCUGUUAAAAGUUGUUAAAAGUGGCCUUGGAAGACUGAAACAUAAGUUAAGGUAGCAUGUCCGGAAUGGAUUGCAACCUAGGGUGCAUGUCUACUCAAAAUAAAUUAUAGAAGAAGGGCUUUAUUUUGUGUAACAGAUUCUACUUAUGUGAAGAAGAACAGUAAACAGUUGAACUUUUACUUCUCUACUGCAGAUUCUCUUGAUGAGGCUGGGAACUUUUCCUUAGCGUUUUGGGCAUUUCAUGGGUGAUGUCGAAAGUUAUAAGGGUCUAUUAGUCAUUAGAAAGAUGGCAUGUUCAAAGGGUUCCUAGUAGGCUGAAACAGAUAUGGAAGACUAUCCCUCUCUGCAUUUCUUGGAUAAUAUUGCUGGAAAAAAACAAGCUUUGUUUGAAGGACAUAGAGAUCACAUUUCUAGAGUUAAAAAUAAAUGUGGAUCUGUACUUCUGGUGUAAUAACAAUAUGUUAGUUAAUCUAGAUUAGUACAUGGAUUUUCUGAAAUUGUUAGGUAGAAAAGAGUAGCAGAUUGUGUGGUUGGGUUUUGUUUGGAUUCUUGUAUCCUUCUUGGUACUGUUUCAAUAAUACUUUACCUUAUUAAAAAAUAAAAUAAUAGGAGACCAAAUACCCUUUCCACAACUGACGUGGAACUCCGCCAACAAAACUUUAAUUUUUCAAUACAACUUCAUUCCAUGUGAUUUUAGGUCUAUAUUGUCUCCUUUUACUAUCUUCUAUCAUCAUGAUUUCGGUUGAAAAUAUAGUUAACAAAAUAGAAGUAUGCUUUUCUCUGACAACUUAAGUUUCUAGGUGAGUCGAAUGUCAAUCAAAUAUUUCAACAUGGUAGCAAAAAUCACUGCCACCCAUUAUCAAAAAGAAUUUCCACAUUCUUGGCCAAUGAAAAAAAGAAUUAAGCCCAGAAGUGAGGGGGCGUGUUGAGAAUAUAAUUAAGAAAAUGAAUGUGUGCUCUCUCUAAUAGCUUAAGCUUUUAGAUGAGAAUGGUCACACACUUCAACAGUUUCACAAAUAUGGACCGGUGCAUCUGAGGUCGAUAUAUCACGUGACAAGCUAACAACCUUUUCUCACUUUAUCCUCUACGUGCACUACUUUCACCUUUUGCCAAAUGUCAUCAUUUUUUUUUAAUCUUCUAUGACUGCACAUCCUUCUGACAUUUGCAUUUCUCCUUAAGCUUAUUUUGAAAGGAAAAAAAAAAACAUUUUCCAAGUGUUUUAAUCACAGUGCUUGAAUUCUGUGGUUUCACUAAAAGAGUUGGAUGUUCCAUCUUCCAACUUGUUAAUCUGCUGGUUCCAAAUUUUCUUGUUUAGAGCUAAUGAGUACAGGAAAUUCGUGUUCCUGCAUUUUAUAGUGUUACUCAUGCCACAUGGCCUUAAGUAUAUAGGAUCUUAAAGGGAAAAAAUUAUUUUUUAUAAAGCAAAAGGAAACAUGCUAUCAGAAGUCUGUCAACUUUUAUGAACAUAGUUUAGUUAAAGCAUCAUUUUCUUUUUGCAGGAUAAAUAUCAAGUAACUGGUAGCUGGAUGAAAACAGCUAUCUUCAGCUACCUAGAAGAUGAACUACAUUAAAGAAGCUGCUUGUGGUAUCUUUGGUAUCAACAGUAUCUUGGCUCCUUCAGCUUUUUUCUGUUAUAUGCAUAUUCUUAUUCACCACUUGAUUUUGUGCUUGAUGAAAAGGGGUUGCUUGAGCGACUUUUAUUGCUAUCUGAUCCUGAAAUUACCUGCAAAAGAUCAUUACUUUUUUAUGUGUUUGAAGGUUCUUCUUCAUGGUGGGUAUGCCAAUCAACAUUGCUGACAUUCUUCCAUCUGCAGCAUUCUCAUGAUAUUUUCUUGAAGUUGAAACUGUUUUCAAUUUGCUUUUACAAAGAUGUUCUUAUAUCACUUACUUGAGAGCUAGAUCGACUU